rnacentral:rRNA from 1 species
ACGACUACACUCCUACGGGAGGCAGCAGUGGGGAUUUUGGACAAUGGGCGCAAGCCUGAUCCAGCCAAGCCGCGUGCGGGAAGAAGGCCUUCGGGUUGUAAACCGCUUUUGUCAGGGAAGAAACGCUCUGGGCUAAUACCCCGGGGUAAUGACGGUACCUGAAGAAUAAGCACCGGCUAACUACGUGCCAGCAGCCGCGGUAAUACGUAGGGUGCAAGCGUUAAUCGGAAUUACUGGACGUAAAGCGUGCGCAGGCGGUUAUGCAAGACAGAUGUGAAAUCCCCGGGCUUAACCUGGGAACUGCAUUUGUGGCUGCAUAGCUGGAGUGCGGCAGAGGGGGAUGGAAUUCCGCGUGUAGCAGUGAAAUGCGUAGAUAUGCGGAGGAACACCGAUGGCGAAGGCAAUCCCCUGGGCCUGCACUGACGCUCAUGCACGAAAGCGUGGGGAGCAAACAGGAUUAGAUACCCGUGUAGUCCACCAAUCC